AACAGACUCGACAUUGAACCAAGCAACUAGCGUACAAAGUAGACAUGAACAGGCCGCGAUGAAGAGGGCAGAGAAAUCAACGGAUCUGGAAACGGGAAUAGGGAAUAGGGGCGAGAAGAUUCCGGUUAAAAGAGCGAAACACUACUGACAAGGGGAUAAGGAAAACAGAGUGUUGGAAAGAAGCGACGAUGUAAACAUGGUAGGAAUGACGAUAAGGGAUGGAGAUACAGAGAAGGUACAAUAGGAAAAAGGAAAAGAUUCCUGUUUUCAAGGAGAAUACUGAUAGCAGUAUGUAGGCGAACAUUUCGAAUAAAAAACAGAUUGCAUACUAGCUUCGAUUUAUUCGAGACGUAACGGGUAUUAAUUCCCGCCUACCUAUUCCCGCCAACUCCCGCUAACUCCCGCCGACUUGUAUAUCGAUGCAUUGUACAUGCCUUGCAUCUUUCUAUGCUUGCUUCCUCUAUACCAAACGGGAAGAGUUACGAUUGAAAAUCAUUCGGUUGUACAACGUAUUUGGAGAAAAUUAUUUGUAUAAUUUGUAUAAUUUGUAUUUAAAUGCGAAUAAUAGCGACAGUACAUAGGGAAAGAGGGAAGCGAUGCUAACGUCGUUUUGGCCUGGCUCCGACACGAUAUAUUCUAGCCCGUGUUUCGUUUAAAACAGAAAAAGAGUAAUAUCCACUUGAUCCAAUCCCUCAGCUCCAGAGGAUAUUAAACCGACGUUAAAGCACGUUGCUGUGACCAUGUCCCAAUUAGCGUAUUUACAGUCCCUACGCAACCGCUUCCCGUUUAAAUGCUCCGGUUACUCUUAUCUUGCGGAACGCCUCUGGUAUUUUGUGCCAGUCUAAACGAUACGAUUGAUAUCGUCGAUGGUAAUAUUCAAUCUUUUACAGCCCUAUUUUCUAUCAGAUAUAUAUAUACACACGUAUCGUUUGCAUGUAAAACUUCCAGUCUAAUUGGACCAUUCACAGAUCAAAGUUGGAGAUUUAAACAUUUUUUUUUGGCGUCGAUACACUUGAUCGACAUCGAACCUCGUCUCGUAUAAUUCCGUCAAUUUCCUCCACUUCUUGGUUCGUGGAGUUAGCCACAAGAUUUGGCAAAUAAACAGCUCGAUCGUCGUCUAGUCACACUCGAUUCAUUUUCUCAUCCGCUUGUAUGAUUCUGAACAAUGACAACGACGAAGAGGGAAAGAGUACGAUCUGUCACGAUGGUACGAUCACUUUGGUAUGCUUCUAACGCGGCUCAACUUUUCUCUUUUUCUCUUUUUCAACUCCCCGACAAAGCGAUCUACCACCCAUGUACCGUGCCAGCCAAGCACUACGGAAGUUCAAAAUCUUCUUUUAAUACCUCCCACAGUUUCCCAUUUUUGAGUUUGCUGGCCUCUCUUGUCGCUUCACAGUGAAAUCUUAGUUUCUUUCAAGACGACAACGACGUUCCUUCGGACCUGUUCCGCACCGUUCUCAUAAAACGACCUUCCCAGAAAGCCGUUCUUUUCUAUUUCUCUAUACUGGCCGCGUAUCGUGCAGUCUCGAAUAUUUCACUCACAAUGAAACUAGUUGCAACAGGUUUCGUCUGCAUCAAGCAACGAAACAAUAAGCAUCAAUCGAUAUUCUUCAGUCUCGGUCUUAACCUGUUAACCUGGGAAGGACGAAUCAACUCGCCGAUUAACUCCGAUUCUUAAUCGCUUAAAUACAGGCCGUUAAAAAGAGCGUUUGGAUGCUUAAACAACUCAUCGAGAGGAAUAAAAAACGUCUAAUCAGCGUAGGUCCUAUGAGCAGCCCUUUCGAUAUAAAAUCACCUUUUAUUAUUUAUUAGACUAUCUAAUUUUUUCCUACUCUAGGCUGUUAAAAAAUCUGAAAAAAUGCCCAAUAUGCGAUUAGUUCUUGUACGAAACGAAAAUACGCCUGGAAGAAAUUCACGAGUGAAAUUUCGCGCGUAAACGACUCAGCUCGUCUACAGAGAAGUCUGUGGAGUUACAGGGGUUUUCCCAGCCAGCUUUUCACGACUCACGAAGAAACGAAAUUUUUUAACAGAUGAAAAUCUGUGACCAACGUCGUUCAUCCCCGGGGCGACUUUCUCACGCUAGCUCGGUUACUAAGUGAGGAUGUGAAAGACCACGGCGUUCGAAGGUCGUUCGUUCAAAUUGCUCGUUUUGCGCAUCGCACAAAGCCACCUCUACCAGGACGUUAAGAUCUCGGUACACGAAUACACUUUAUAACCGAUUACAUACAGCGAGGCUCCAACGUUCGACGUUACGGACCGUUCGAAAUAUUGCGCGAAGCUAGUUUUUUAAAUGCUUGUGCUUAUGUAAGCACACGAUCGAUUGGCGCGUGAACGAACGACAGAGCGCGAUAGAAAGCACGAGAGUGGGGGGAGACAGAGAGAAAUGGAGUGGGUGGUAGGAGGCUUAAUGUAGGAAAUGGAAGGGAGAGAAAAAAUUGGUUGGAAGGGCGCUGUUGCUGGGGGCGAACUCCACCGUUACGAGUGGAGUAAAAACGGUUCGAAAAAGUAACGGAUAAACGGAGAACUGAGAUGGCAGAAGAAUAGUAAGAGAACAAACGAAAAAGGAGUGGGAGAAAAAAGGCGCGCGAGAAAAGAAGAAAGAGAGGAAAAAGGGUCGGAGGGAGGAGAAAGACGAAAGAACGAAGUGAAGAUUGGUGGGUGGGGAAGAUAUGAUAGAAGGAAGAAAAGGAGGAAAGAAAGCAAAGAGAUACGGAAAGAGAGAGGCGAAAGGAGUGUUUGAGAGAGGGGCGCGAGAAGCGUGGAAGAUGAGGCGGAUGAGGUGACGGGAUGAUGGGGAAACGAGUAUGGGUAGACAUGCAGGCAUGCAGACAAACAGGCACCGAGUGGAUACUGGAGAAAGAAGUCGAGAGGAAGGAGGAAGUUGCGCAACGGUCAACCGACGCGGCAUUAGAGAAGCGCAUCAAACCAACCCACGUAAAUACUUCUUCCGUUUAUUUAAAAAUAUAAGACGAUCCAAAAAGAUGAAGCCGGAAUAAAGAUGAAACGCGCGAAAGGUUGAUAACACGCGCCCAAGAAGAAGAAAGACGAAGGCACUUAUCGAUUGAUACGAUCUGAACAUAACGAUCUCUGAAUCUUGGAACGAGUAUAAAAGGAAAGAGCUAUAAGAAGGGCAUAAUAAAAUUCAUCCCCCGGAACGAGCCGCCGAGGCAUGCAUCCGAUUUCUUUCUUUCUCGACCAGCUCUCGGGUUUGGUCCAGCUCGUUGGUUACCGCCGCUAUGCAGCUACCUGUGAGGGAGUGAAUCGUAUAAGUACGAAUAACAACCUGUUCCCCUCUACCUGUUCGGAGAGUAGCUACGUGUAUGUGCACGGAUAACAGCUCCUUUCCUUUGAUCUCGAAUGACAAAAGACAUCCUAUGACCACACGUAUACUCGCUAAUUCGCGCUACUUCUACCUCCUCGCUUCCGCCAAAUACGCAUAUACGCUUGUUUCAAAUAUUUAUAAAUACACCAUCCUAUUUUAACGUGCUCCUUCAAUACCACUCGCUUCCAAUCCAAUCUUGCAUUUGUUCCACGUGUGCACAGGUAAUAUGAGAAGAAAGAACGGAGUCCCCGAUAACUCUCGGUAGGUAGUACGUCGGAAAGUUACAAACGGAAAAUCUCGUAUUGUAGACCGUUGAAAGCAUUAAGAUAGUAUUCUUGGUCGUCAAUGUGUCCGUCCUUCUUCUAUACAAAUCACGGACUGAAUAAGGACACACGAUAAAUAGUCUGUAUACAAAGAAAAAAGCAAUUAACGGCGCAUGGUAUUGGGUCGUUUCGCGGAAAUGGUCAAAACCACCGAGAAUCUCAGUCAGUUUCCCUCCAAAACCGGUCAGCUGAUGGUAUUUGCCCGACCAGCUGAAGGGACGGCUGUCAAGGGUAGGCAGACUCGGCCAUUUUUAAAUCCCUCGUAGCCGCCGAUUUAAAAGACCACGCUUGUUUUCUGCUGCGCGUCGGCCUACUCGCCUCAGCCCCAGUCCCGGCCCCGGCCCUGGCCCCAUCUCCCACCAGCUUUGCCUUUCUGACGACGCGACGCGACGUACAGUGGCUCACGAAAGUAUUUAAACAUUUGCAAUACAACUUUUUUUUAUGAAUACACUAUGUACAUUGCACGAGAUCUUCGGAAAUAUCGCUAACAUCGUAACGAGACGCGAUUAUCAUAAUCGUAAUACUAAAAUUUGAAACCAAUCCGAAAAUCUAUAUAAAAGUUACAAGACAUUUAUUGCAAACAUAUAUUUACUGAAAAAUUAGUAUACCUCGUGAAUAAUAGUCUUAUUACAGAAGUACACAAUUGACGCUAAUCAUGCUUUCGCUAUAUAUCGCGGCUUGCUAGCAUAGCGAAUAGCUGACUGUCCAUAUAAUUUGGCGAUAUUUGGGAAGCACGUGCUUUCCAUUUACUGGAAAGUAAACUUCUACAUAGAUUUUUAGAUUCCGUUCAAAUUUUGCCAAUGUAAUCACGACGGCCGUGUCUCGUUACAGUGCUAAUGAAAUAAAACAUUUUUCGUGCAAUAUAUAGAGAAAAAGUUUCUUCAAGUACUUUCGUGUGCCACUGUAACUUCGUCCUGGCCUGUCCCGACCCAUCAGCUCUCGCCUCCUCUCAUGUUGUCUCCUUCUCGUCUCGUUUCUUCUCAUCUCGCCCCCUACCUUGUCAAGGCGUAAACACCAUUCCGUUCCCUUUACAUUCGUACCCUUAGACCGACGUUGGUAUCGCGGCUACCUUUUCCCGCGCUCAUUCCUACUUUCCUCGUUGUCUCGUUUCUUCACGCUAACCGGUCGAGUUGCAACGAACGUCCACGCACGUUGUCCGCGCAUCCAACGAAUCGCGCUUGUUUUUCAUUAUCUCCGCUUCACCGUUUUAGCCUCCAACCGUUACGACGAUCACGGUUCAAAUAAUCAAACGCGAGUCGGUUGAUCGCCGCACACUUUCGACAUCGAACGACUACCUUCGGUCUUUUCUUCUCAUCACAAUGUUGCACGUUCGCUGGCUGAAUUUCGUUCUGAAGUACUUGCAAUUUGUGACUUUUGUUUAUAACAUGAUUUUUUUAUAGGAUAAUGAUCUUCCUCUCUCUUUCUCUCUCUCUCUCUCUCUCUCUCUCUCUCUCUCUCUCUCUCUGUUUCUCUCUGUGGUUUAAAGUACCCAGAAAGUACCCAUUUAUUUGUAAAAAUGCCUUUUAUGCCAGUACUAUACAAUAUACUAAUUUUUUGCUGUAUUUACUGUAUAUUAAUCUUUUCACGCUAAAUAUUCCUGUACAUACAUACAGCAGCUCACGGAAGCGUUCGUGGACCUGUAAAAACCUUUACCUUUCAACGAAACAUUUCGAAAUUUCAUUAGCACCGUAACGAGACCGAUUAUCACGAUUGUAUUGGUAAAGUUCGAAACAAAUUUGAGAAUGAAUAUAAAAGGUACAAGAUAUUUCGUGCAAGUAUAUAUAUAUAUAUAUAGUCUUCACUGGAAUUUUGAUUCAAAUGGUUCACCAUUAGAUCAACUGUCCCAAGUUCGCGGUUCGCUCUUUGGAUUUCGCUAUUUUGUAAAGUGGGGAAAUUUAAAAAGAAUGACGAUUAACAAAACGCUUAAAUUAGUAAGAAGCUGGUAGAAAUCUCUCAAACUGCUUGGCAGUCUGUGCACGCCAAUAGCUCAAUUAUUUCUUGUAACGUGGUAUGAGAAAAAAAAAUGCGAGACAACCGCAGAAAAUGAUCUGUAGUUUGAUAAAUGGAAUUCUACGGUGGAUUUAUUCGAAGGAAACUUUAUAAAUAAAAGGCCCAUGACAUCAAUAGCCUACGUUCUAACGACAGGUCCCACACGGCAACAAAGCAAAAUAGACCAAAAGAACGAAAUGUGCCGUUUUUCCUUUCGUGGGCUCUUUUCUUGAAGGUUUCAGGUAAGUAUAACGAUCCUCGUGACCGCGAGACACAGGUACUACACAAAGUGUUCAACAUCUUCUCACACCUACCUGAAGACUCGAUUCAAAAAAUACUCCAAUUGAGACUCAAUUUAGUUUUUCAUAUAUUUUUCAAUAUAUUUAUCACGAGUCUUUCGAAUUUCUCUCCUUCAUUCUUCGACUACUUCGUCGAUUCUACUUUUUUUCUUCCUUUGGUUUAUUGCACGGUUAAUUCGUAAAAUCGAACAUAAAGGUUAAGAACGAAGUAGAAGAAAAGAGAGGAAGAGAGAAAUUUGGAGGGAAGACUAGGAUGGUGGUGGAAAAAAAGCGGGAAUGUUGCGGCGAUCAGCUGAGAAAUAUUCCAAAAGAGGCUGGUCGGUCGGCCCUUUCGACAAACCGGUUAGCCUGGCGUGGGGCAUCUUGGCGGGAAACCUCCGCCAAUGACAGUCCGUUGCUUUAUCUCUUUCUCACUUCUUCCCUUCCUCCUUCCUUCUCUUUCGCUCGUUUGUCUUUCCCCUACCUUCCAGUCGGCUUUCUUAGAAGGAACGCAAAGCAUUUGCAUUCACGAGGGAGACCACCGCAUAGAUGCCCGGCCUGUAUCGCGUACACGUUUUAUGUCGUUGACGUGUAUCUAUGAAAAAUUCCUCUUCUAACAAUUCUGAACAAUUGUUCGUCGAAAGGAAAUAAUGGCGAUAAAACGACCGAAAACGUGGUUCACGGUAACCUCGAUUAGUAAAAGCAAAUAACGAAUUGUAAAUAGAUCUCGCUUCGUUGACAACGUUACUCCUCUUCCCUUUAACAAACUUUUCGGUCGUAGAAUAUCAUAUGAGAGUUGGUAUCUACUGUAUAUUACAUCGAAUGGUAGAUGCCUGUGAAUAUGUCUAAAUACGAUAUUUCUUUUAAAUUUCUGUUACAUGUGAUAGCUAGUGCUGUCUAUGUAUAUGUACAGUAGCGUGCAGAAGAAGCCUCAAUUCAGAUUAGUUCAAAUAACUUGCCACCACUUUAUUGAGAAAUCAUUAUCAUUUACUUAGGCUGGAAUAUUUUUUCAAAUUUCUACUCUCGUUCUUGUUAAUCGAUCCACGUGACUUCGAGCAGUUCGAGUUUGUUGAGCGAGAUUGUUAUCUGAUCUGAUUAUUAAUGUCGUAUUAGAAAUGAUUAAUGUAAGCUUGUUAUAGCUAAUUAAAAAUUUGUGUUCUCGAGUUUCUAAAUAAAAUCCAACUGUUAUUGCUUUCAGCUAUAUCUUGACUAAAAAGAAACAACUGUUGCUAGGUUAUGUAAUGCCAUCCCAGUUUCGUACUUGCCAAUGUCGGUUCCCUAGAUCAAGUCAAUUUUUUCUGAACUUCGCGCUCACAGCCAUACUUCGUAUACGUGAUAUUUUUGUUAGACGUUACCAAGUCAUCGCUACAAUUUUAUUUCAUUGUAUGCUGAGUUCAAUUUCUGUGUAAUGAAACACGCUGUUACGCUGGUUCUGUGGUUAUGACAUCAACGGAAACUAGUUCGUUACCAUCCUUCCAAUGAACAUAACCUAUCCUUUCUGCAGAAAAAGAAAUGGUAUACUAUUUCAUAUUUUACGAUCUCAAACACGAUGUAUCUCGUUUCUUAUCGUACUAAUCGCAACAUGACUUUUACAGAGUACUGUACGCAAACGUGAUCGACGGGAGUAAAAUUGCUAGAGACUUAGUUCACGUGUGGUCUCUCGUGUAGCAAAGUUGAAACAUAUACACGACCCAAACGCACCCGAACCGUCUACGAGCUAAAGUGGGCGGCGUUAUUCUUAGCGAGUAGGGAUACGAUGAACUUGCUUGCCCGAACCGUUUUGCUUGAUUUUUUAACGGUCGCGUCACGAGAGCAACGAAGAGAAAUAUAAAGAUAAAAUAUCGGCUACUGCAGCAGAAACUUGCUGGAAUGCGAACAAAUGAAUAGAAGGAGUCCAGAAGGAAGAAGAAGGAAAAGGAGGGAGGAUGAUAUCGAAUAAAGCGUAGGAGCUAGUUGAAGCGUGAAACGGGAAAGAAAACCGACGAGUACGGCGCCGAACGAGAUGGAUAGGCUUACCAGAAACGGUGGGAACCGGCGAGUGAGGUAGAAAGAGAAAGAAAAGACAAGUGAAUCUUCCUCGCGAUGAAUGGAACUAGAAAAUAUGAAUGGUCUUGGUCAGCGUUUUUGAGCUAUAGCGUUCAACGAGAUAUCCAGUAUAUGAAUGUGUAUAUAUUGUCCAUUUCAAAAUAUUUCAAACGUCGAAUAAUUUGUAAAUGAUGCGUUAAUAUGAAAUGUUAAUUUUGUUUAUACAUCGUUGAUUUGUUAAGAUGGUCUCGAAUAAUUCGUAAAUAACAAACGAAUGCUUUGUCGGUACAAUGAUAUGACGAAGAGACGAAACAAAAUGACGAAGGACUUAGAAUAAACGAUUUAACAAAUGAUAUCUCUAUAUUCGAGAUUUCGGAUAAAAAAAAAGAGGUACAUAUUGUCAACUUGUUAUAAGAAAUAUUAAUAAUAGUGUUACAAAUGAUGCUAUGUUAAGAAAUAUUAAUAAUAUUGUUAUAAGAAAUAUUAAUAAUAGUGUUAGAAAUGAUGCUAUGUUAAGACGUAAAAUUUGUAGUACUACGUUUGACGAGUUAGUAUAAAAUGUUACUCGACUAUAUGAAUCGAAGCCAAAAAAUAC